AGCAGCCGCGGUAAUUCCAGCUCCAAUAGCGUAUAUUAAAGUUGUUGCAGUUAAAAAGCUCGUAGUUGAAUUUCGGGGUUAGUAGGUUGGUCAUGCCUCCGGUAUGUACUGAUCUCACUGAUUCCUCCUUCCUUAUGAACCGUAAUGCCAUUAAUUUGGUGUUGCGGGGAAUUUGGACUGUUACUUUGAAAAAAUUAGAGUGUUUAAAGCAAGCUAACGCUUGAAUACAUUAGCAUGGAAUAAUGAAAUAGGACGUUCGAUCUUAUUUUGUUGGUUUCUAGGAUUGACGUAAUGAUUAAUAGGGAUAGUUGGGGGCAUUAGUAUUCAAUUGUCAGAGGUGAAAUUCUUGGAUUUAUUGAAGACUAACUACUGCGAAAGCAUUUGCCAAGGAUGUUUUCAUUAAUCAAGAACGAAAGUUAGGGGAUCGAAGACGAUCAGAUACCGUCGUAGUCUUAACCAUAAACUAUGCCGACUAGGGAUCGGAUGAUGUUAAUUUUUUAAUGACUCAUUCGGCGCCUUA
rnacentral:sRNA from 1 species